rnacentral:lncRNA from 10 species
AGAAGAAGCGCAUUGCGCGGUUCGCCGGGCUGUCUGCAACUUUGGGAGCUGCGCCGCGUGGGUGCGGCCAGCCGACCGGCGCGUGCGCAGUGAGUUCUCAGCGCCUCCCGCCGCGCAGGCUCGGCGUUGGCCUCCGCGGCCCGUGCGAGUGCGCCCUUCUCGGGUCCCCUAGGUCGCGGGGCAGCCGGGGCGGAAGGGGCUUGUUCAUUAUUUUGAGAGUUUGUUGUGAACGUCAUAACCUUUCGUCCUUAAAUAUUGCCGAUACUUGACCUACGCAAGAGACAAUGUCAUGUGAUUCAGCCUAAUAUCUCAGAGGAUGCAGCAUUCAAGGUUCUAUCUUGGAAGCAGAGACUGUGCCCUCACCAGAUGCUGAACCUGCUGAGCACCCUGAUCUUCCACUUCACCUUCAUCAGAACUGUUUUCGUAUCAGGAUGAUGCUGGCCUCAUACAAUGAGUUAGGGACGCGCAUGAAAUUUGGUGCCGUGACUCGGAUCGGCGGACCUCCCUUAGGAGAUCAAUCCCCUGUCCUCCUGCUCUUUGCUCCAUGAGAAAGAUCCACCUACGACCUAAGGUCCUCAGACCAACCAGCCCAAGAAACAUCUCACCAAUUUCAAAUCCGAAAUCCUUCAUCUAAUCUGGCAAACACAUGUGGCAGGUUUUUCUCACCGCAUAAAAUAUGUUAUAGAGUAGUCCAUCUAUUUCUCUUCCAUGGAAGAGUUCAUCUGGUAGAUUGGACUACCACUUUUCCUUGAUGAGAGACGUUGAGCUCCAAACUCAGACUAAGAAACUAUAAGAAAUAUGCUUCAAUGAAGAAGCUGUUCAAAAAUGAGUAAGAUUGUUUCCUUGAGGCAAGAAAGAAAUGCAGAAGUCUUGACAAACAAAAGAAGAGAUUGCCUUAGGGAAGGGGACUACAGUGAACACUGAGAACUUCUUCCCACGCUAAGACAAUCUUUACAGAGCAAGACUCCGUCUC